rnacentral:rRNA from 1 species
GAGGUUGGCUUAGAAGCAGCCAUCCUUUAAAGAAAGCGUAACAGCUCACUGGUCAAGUGUCUCUGCGCUGAAAACGAACGGGGCUCAAACGAAUCACCGAAGCUAUGGUUUACAUUAAAAUUUCGAUUUUAGUGUAGAGGUAGGGGAGCGUUCCUUGAUAGAUACGAGCUUGACCGUAAGGACAAGUGAUGUGGAUCAAGGAAGUGAGCAUGUUGGUAUUAGUAACGAAAAAACAGGUGAGAUUCCUGUUCGCCGAAAAUCUAAGGAUUCCGUGAGAUCGGUUCAUCCACUCAGGGUUAGUCGAUAUCCUAAGCCGAGGCCAAUUGGAGUAGGCGAUGGAAAGCAGGCUAAAAAUUCCUGCACCACCUAAUGACGUUUGAGCGAUGGAGUGACGCAGGAGGGUAAGUUGACUUGGCGUAUGGAUUGCCAAGCUAAGCGCAAAGGAUAGCUUCAUAGGUAAAUCCGUGAGGUGUUUCUGAAGCGUUAUGGGUAUGCCAAUUCGUAAGAAAAGGCGUAUUUGACUGAUCCCACACUGACUAGAAAAGCUUCUAGCGAGUCAAAGGGUGAUCGUACCGCAAACCGACACAGGUAGAUAGGUUGAGAAUACUAAGGCGUUGAGAUAAUUAUCAUUAAGGAACUCGGCAAAAUUGCCCCGUAACUUCGGGAGAAGGGGUGCCUGCAUUGUUACUAAAAUUUAUUUUGGAAAGCAAAGGCAGGUUACAAUAAAUAGGCCCAACCGACUGUUUAACAAAAACACAGGGCUCUGCAAACUCGUAAGAGGAAGUAUAGAGUCUGACGCCUGCCCAGUGCUGGAAGGUUAAUAGGAGGGGUUAGCUUCGGCGAAGCUCCGAUUUGAAGCCCCAGUAAACGGCGGCCGUAACUAUAACGGUCCUAAGGUAGCGAAGUACCUUGUCGGGUAAAUUCCGACGCGCAUGAAUGGCGUAACGAGUUGGGCGCUGUCUUGAUGAUAAACUCAGUGAAUUUGUAGUGCCGGUGAAAAUGCCGGCUACCCGCGGCAGGACGGAAAGACCCCGUGCACCUUUACUAUAACUUGACAUUGAUUUUUGGAUUGGUUUGUGUAGGAUAGGCGGGAGACUAUGAAGUCAGGGUGCUAGCUCUGAUGGAGUCAUCCUUGAAAUACCGCCCUUAUUGAUUUGAAAAUCUAACUUCGUUCCGUAAUCCGGACGAAAGACAGUGUCUGGUGGGUAGUUUGACUGGGGUGGUCGCCUCCCAAAAUGUAACGGAGGCGUUCAAAGGUUCCCUCAUGACGAAUAGAAAUCGUCGGUAGAGUGUAAAGACAAAAGGGAGCUUGACUGCGAGACAUACAGGUCGAGCAGGUGCGAAAGCAGGACUUAGUGAUCCAGUGGUUCUGAAUGGAAGGGCCAUUGCUAAACGGAUAAAAGGUACGCCGGGGAUAACAGGCUGAUCUCCUCUAAGAGUCCACAUCGACGAGGAGGUUUGGCACCUCGAUGUCGGCUCAUCGCAUCCUGGGGCUGAAGAAGGUCCCAAGGGUUUGGCUGUUCGCCAAUUAAAGCGGUACGCGAGCUGGGUUCAGAACGUCGUAAGACAGUUCGGUCCUUAUCCGCCGUGGGCGUAGGGUAUUUGAGAGGGGCUGUCCCUAGUACGAGAGGACCGGGAUGGGCAAAUCUCUAGUGUUCCAGUUGUUUACCAAAAGCAACGCUGGGUAGCUAAAUUUGUUAGAGAUAACCGCUGAAAGCAUCUAAGUGGGAAACUCGCCUCAAGAUAAGAUACCCCGUAUUUUAAUACGUAAGAUCCCUUGAAGACUACAAGGUUGAUAGGCUGGAUGUGUACGUGCAGUAAUGCACUUAGCUAACCAGUACUAAUAGAUCGAGAGUUUUAAUCGC